rnacentral:rRNA from 1 species
GUUUAACAAAGAGAAGCAAAGCCGCAAGGUAGAGCAAAUCUCAAAAAAACAUCUCAGUUCAGACUGCAGGCUGCAACUCGCCUGCACGAAGUCGGAAUUGCUAGUAAUCGUAGGUCAGCAUACUACGGUGAAUACCGUUCCCGGGCCUUGUACACACCGCCCGUCAAACCAUGAGAGUUGGCAACACCCGAAGUCGGUAGUCUAACCGCAAGGAGGACGCCGCCGAAGGUGGGGUUGAUGAUUAGGGUUAAGUCGUAACAAGGUACC